rnacentral:rRNA from 1 species
UCCAGACUCCUACGGGAGGCAGCAGUGGGGGAUAUUGCACAAUGGGGGGAACCCUGAUGCAGCGACGCCGCGUGGGUGAAGGAGCGUUUCGGCGCGUAAAGCCCUCUCGGCAGGGAAGAAGGAGGACGGUACCUGACUAAGAAGCCCCGGCUAACUACGUGCCAGCAGCCGCGGUAAUACGUAGGGGGCAAGCGUUAUCCGGAUUUACUGGGUGUAAAGGGGGCGCAGACGGCAGCGCAAGCCAGGAGUGAAAGCCCGGGGCCCAACCCCGGGACUGCUCUUGGAACUGCGCGGCUGGAGUGCAGGAGGGGCAGGCGGAAUUCCUGGUGUAGCGGUGAAAUGCGUAGAUAUUAGGAGGAACACCAGUGGCGAAGGCGGCCUGCUGGGCUUUUACUGACGCUGAGGCUCGAAAGUGUGGGGAGCAAACAGGAUUAGAUACCCCCGUAC